GUUUUUAUUUUUAUCUUUUAAGAGCGUUCUCUUUGUUAUAUUUAGAUAUACUGCUUGAGAAAAUCAGUUGUUACUUUGGAGUUUUCUGGAUGUGGCCUCUUCUGUAGUUUGCAACAGCUCUCAUCUGGUUUGUGUAUGUAGCUUUUAUGCCAUAUUUGAACCUGGUAACAUAACAGCAAUCAGGAAUGCUGAGAGAGUCCCUCAGCUACAGUGACAGGUUCUGCAACAAAUUCCUUGUUCUUACAGGACUCUCAAUCGGGUAGUUCAAUUUUCAGAAGAGUGCACUGCCCAGAGAGUCUUCCGAUUUUACUGUCUCAUCACUCUAAAAAUCAAGGUACAUGCACGAGAAAUUCCUUCAGUUACAUUGCAUAGGAAAAUAUGAUCUUUCACAGUAAUCUUUGCACUACUGCAAUCUGUUGCAAUUGUACAAGGCUGCUUAUGACCAAGAGCCUGAGCAUCUCAGUUUAUCUCUGAGUUUGGACCUCUUUUGGCUGAGGGAAGGACCAGGAAACCUCAGGAGGAUUCUUCCACUCCAAAUUAUCACAUAUUUUUCAAGGAAAGGUCAUGAAUCUGAGAACAAAUAUGAUACAUAAGGAAAAAUGCCUGUUUCACAUCUUAACAACUUUCAAAUUACCUAACUUCUACUGUAUAAGA